UACGUAGGGUGCAAGCGUUAAUCGGAAUUACUGGCGUAAAGCGUGCGCAGGCGGUUUUGUAAGUCAGAUGUGAAAUCCCCCGGGCUUAACCUGGGAACUGCGUUUGAAACUACAAGGCUAGAGUGUGGCAGAGGGGGGUGGAAUUCCGACGUGUAGCAGUGAAAUGCGUAGAUAUGCGGAGGAACACCGAUGGCGAAGGCAAUCCCCUGGGCCUGCACUGACGCUCAUGCACGAAAGCGUGGGGAGCAAACAGGAUAGAUACCCCGAGUAG
rnacentral:rRNA from 1 species